rnacentral:lncRNA from 10 species
AAGAAGAUCUCCUUCCACACUGCCUGUCUUCUGCACUGGAACUCCCUGAAGGAAAGAGCUCCUUAGGAAAAUUACUACUUCCAGGUCUGGAGGAAGAAAUGCAUGAAAUGAGCUUGAACCACCUGUGCCUGAAAGCACAUGAGCUGUCAAAGACACCUGAAGUCACAGCAAAAGGACAGAAGGCAACCUGAGAGUAUUCCUACUGGCCAAAGUUGGCAUAACAUAAGCACAAAAAUAAAAAUUACUACAAUGGGUUGAGAAAAAGAUUUGUUUUAAUUCCAUGAAUUGUUAAUGAUACACAAAUAAGUGAACUGGUAACAUUUGGAGGUUUUAUAAUAAAAUUUAAUAAAAAU